AUUGAACGCUAGCGGGAUGCUUUACACAUGCAAGUCGAGCGAGCGGCGGACGGGUGAGUAAUGUAUGGGGAUCUGCCUGAUGGCGGGGGAUAACUACUGGAAACGGUAGCUAAUACCGCCUCCCAUCAGAUGAACCCAUAUGGGAUUAGCUUGUAGGUGAGGUAACGGCUCACCUAGGCGACGAUCCCUAGCUGGUCUGAGAGGAUGAUCAGCCACACGUGGACUGAGACACGGCCCAGACUCCGACGGGAGGCAGCAGUGGGGAAUAUUGCGCAAUGGGCGGAAGCCUGAUGCAGCCAUGCGGCGUGUAUGAAAAAGGCCUUCGGGUUGUAAAGUACUUUCAGUCGGGAGGCGGUACCGACAGAAGAAGCACCGGCUAACUCCGUGCCAGCAGCCGCGGUAAUUC
rnacentral:rRNA from 1 species